AUGUCAUACUCAAUAUUAGCAUAUGAUGAUGAUGAUAGCUCACCUACAUCUACUACACAUUACAUUAAAAACAUAAAAGACAAGCAUACUUUAGUUGAUGCUAUCUUUAGUCUAGCAACCAACAAAGUCAAGGAUGAAACUGUCAAUUAUGAAAUUCAAUUUUUGUCUUGUUCUUCUGAAUUGAGUAACUGUGAAAGAAAAAGGAUUAUGAAAAACCACAGGCAAAGCUAUAUAAAUGACUUCGUUGAGCCAGCCCGAAAGAAACAAAAGCUAGAAACAAAGCAGAUGAAGUACAAAACAAUGGCUCAGGAGAAAAAACAAAAACUACUGGAGAAUAGAAGAGCUAAAUAUGAAGCAAUGGAUCAAUCAAAGAAAGAGGUACUGCUUACUAAAAAUAUGAAUUAUAAGGAAACAAUGGGAGAAGAACAAAAACAGAGACUAUUAGAGAAUAUGAGAGCCAAAUACCAAGCAGUGGAUAUAUCGAAGAAAAAGGAGUUGAGCGCUAUGAGUUCAAGCAAAACCAUGUCAAAACGCAUCUUGUUGGAUCCAAAACAAAAAAAUAAUUUGCUGAAUAGAGAGAAAGAAAAACGGAUGGAAAAGAAAUCUCUAACUCAUGACAUUGACAUGUGCAUUGAAAAAUUUAAAAAACAAAUUAAAUCUGGCCCUUUUUAUAUAUGCUGUGUGUGUAACCGAACACUAUAUAAAAAGUCAGUAGUAGUCCUACAGAAAAAUAAAUAUCCUCGCCAAGAUUGUUUUAUGCUUCAAUGUUCUUUUGAUGGCAAAAACUACAUCUGCAGAACAUGCCAUGCUAAAUUACUUAAAGAUCAACAGCCUUGUCAAGCUGUGGUAAACAAUUUAUUUGUUGAUGAAACCCCUACUGAACUUGCUGCGUUAGAGAAACUUGAACAAAUUCUGGUUGCCCAGAGAAUAGUUUUUGAAAAAAUUGUAAUAAUGCCGAAAGGACAACAAAGAAAAAUUAAAGGUGCAAUAUGUAAUGUACCAGUUGAAUGUAGUCAAACGUGCAAUAUUCUUCCCAGACCACCUGACAGAUCUGGGAUAAUUUUACUUAAAUUAAAAAGGAAACUUCAAUUUAGAGGUCAUGUUUACUUUCAAGCAGUUCGCCCUCAGUUUGUAAUUAGUGCAUUAAACUGGCUUAUAACAAACAAUCCACCAUAUAGAAACAUUGAAAUUCAAUGUGACAACAUCAGCCCAGAGUUGACUAAUUUGAACUGUCCUGUUACAGAUCAAGAAAAUGUAGACGAGCAUUUGCAAACUAAUGUAAAUAGAGAACUUCUUAAUGAAGAUGCUGAAGAACAAGAUGAUCCAUU